rnacentral:rRNA from 1 species
AUAUCAAUAAGCGGAGGAAAAGAAACCAACAGGGGAUUGCCUCAGUAACGGCGAGUGAAGCGGCUAACAGCUCAAAUUUGAAAUCUGGCUCUUUCAGAGGUCCGAGUUGUAAUUUGUAGAAGAUGCUUUGGGCAUGUAGCUCCGGUCUAAGUUCCUUGGAACAGGACGUCAUAGAGGGUGAGAAUCCCGUACGUGACUGGUGCAUUUCGCUCCGUGUAAAGCUCUUUCGACGAGUCGAGUUGUUUGGGAAUGCAGCUCAAAAUGGGUGGUAAAUUUUCAUCUAAAGCUAAAUAUUGGCCAGAGACCGAUAGCGCACAAGUAGAGUGAUCGAAAGAUGAAAAGCACUUUGGAAAGAGAGUUAAACAGUAC